UCAUUGGAGCCAGCAGCAGAGUGCGUCCUACACAGGUAUCUGAGAUACCAAAAGGUCUACAAGCACCACCAAUCUCUCGGCAUGUCAGAUUGACUUCAGCCUCAACACCUCACCCGAGCCCUUAGGACCAACAUCUCGAUGCUGAGUGCUGCCAGAAGUCGGAAACGCAUCCUUCUGUUCUAACGGAGGCAAACGAUCACUUGCCCGUCGGUUGUAACUUAUCUCCUCCAGGUGUGGCGGCCAUAAAGCAGACGGAUGGACCCAUCACGUUAUCACUCGUGAGUUUUUAAAGUCGAAGCCCGUAUUGGGAAUCGUUAACAAGCGUACCCUUUACAUUGCACGACUGACGACAUGCUCCUUUGUAAAUCGUUUCCGGUAAACCACGAAAUUCCCAUCCCAGAAACAGUCCACAGGUCAGUAGCAAGGAGAUGUGGUUCCCAGAAUAAUAUAAAUGUAAAGGUGCAGUGAUUGCCUUUUUCCAUGAUUUUGCACUACCAUGGUGCAAUGCUAAAGCUGAAGCUAAAGUUGUGUGCUCUAUCUAUCAAGCUAUUAAGUGAUCAUGUAUUUUGCACUAUUGUCAUAUUUGUCGAAAGGCACAAAACAGUUAAAACAGUUUAAGACGCCGCAUUUGCCAUUGUCUACAAGUCAAACUCGGUUUGACCCAGUCAGACUGUAAGUCUAUUAUUACGUACGUAUACCCGUUCACCCCCUAAGGUUACAGUUCUUCGUUCGCCAUAAAAAUGGGAGGGAUGUGAGAAAUAUCAUUUCCAUCUGCUCUGAGCGGCUAAUCGGCGACACUCAUUAUUUCCAGCGACGGGAAGCGCCCCGUCAGUCGGCCCGGAGGCCAAGGCCGCCCAACCGGCGGCGGCUCGCUCGGCUCCUAUCUCGCUGACCUCCACCGUUCGCCCACACCAAAAACACUCGGCGAGGGUUAGAUCGUGAAAAAUGGGUUGACGACACACCAAGGGCAAACGACUGUCGGAGAGGUAUAAAACGGGCGCCAGACGCAGCAGCGACACACUCACACAGUCCACACCACACUCAACAACAUCCACUCUCCAACACUCCACUCAACAUGCACAACCUGCCCGCCAUCAUGACGCUGACCAGGGAGCCGAUUGGCUCGGCUUGGCGGCAGCAGGCUGUUCUUUCGGCACUCUUCCGGCCUCUCCAAUAUCGGCAUACUCGAGUGCGAUAGCAACUCGAGUGGGACUGAUUUUCGGUCUUCUUUCGACACUCUUCCGUCUUCUUCGAUAUCAGCCUGUGCUAAUGCAACGGCUAUUCGUGCAGGACUGAUUUUCGGCCUUGUCUCGUUUAAUGACUCGAUCGCUUCCUUUUGACAUUUUGGUUUCGACCUCAUCUUUUGGCUCAUUUCAAUAUAUCUACUUUUUGUUCA